rnacentral:lncRNA from 1 species
UCUCUCUCUCUCUCUCUGUAUAUAUAUAUAUAUAUAUAUAUAUAUAUAUAUAUAUAUAUAUAUAUAUAUAGGGGUGGGCUACCGUGAGAACACAUCUUAAAAUAAGAAAUAAGAGCAAUUUUUAAUGUAUGAAUUUUAUGUAGAACACGUAUUAAUUCGCUGUAUAAAUGUAUGAAUUGUGAAAAAUAAAUUUUUGCUACCUUUGGGAUUCGAACUCAGGACCAUAAAUCCAUUCAAUAUGAUUACGAAUCAACCGUAGAUCUUGAUGAUCUAAGGGCUGAAAAUGAUUCUUAUUUUUUAUCUUAAGAAAUGCUCUUAUUUUAGCCCUUCCCUAUAUAUAUAUAAUCACAUAUCACAUCUCUCAAGUGUGAUACAUAAUCGGAAAAAUUUUCUUCCUCCGUUCACGAAAAGAUAUAUUUUAGGAAAGAGUGACACGAAUUUUAAGAAAAUUUAUGUUGUUUAUUUAGUGAGUGGAGAAAGGGGCCCACAAAUUAAGAAAAGUGAAAGAAGUUAAUUUAAGUUAGUGAGUGGAGAAAGGAACCCACGAGUUAUUACUAAAAAUAGAUUAUGACAUCUUUUUAUGCACCAAAAUAGCAAAUUAGGAUAUCUUUUCGUAGACAGAUGAAGUAAAUAACAAGUAACAUACCAUUAAUUAAUUUAUAAAAUAUUUUAAUUUUUGAAGUAACUAAUAUAUUAAAACAUUAUGAAUAUUUAUCUCACCUUAUCAUGAGACGUGGGUAGCAAAUGAACCCCUGAUGAAAAAUUGGAAGGAGUAGAUCAUAAAUUAUGCUAGGCAUUUCUAGUUUGAUGAUGAUAAGUUGCGUGAAGAACUUUGCAUUUAGGCAUGUCUUAGUUCACUCGCCCACCUUGUCUGCAGGCCAAUUAACUAUGUCUAUUAACAACUUAUAUUAAUUUGAAUUUUUUAAAUAUUUUUCUUUUCACAUACAUAAUUUACAAUUCAACUUAUUUAUACAAUUUUUAUGUUUUAUGAAUGACCGCUUCAAUAUAAAAUAUAUAUUUUUUUAAUUAAAAAUUUGAUCAAAAUAAUUUAGGACACCAAUUAUAUCAUUGACAUGUGUAAGCUUAAAUGUUGAUCCAGCCGCUUUGAUUUUUUGAACGACCCGUCACUGAUAAAGAUUAGAUGGUGUGAGCUAAUUAAAUUUUAUGAAUAACAUAUUUACGGAACAUUCGAUUCUCUUUCUCAUGUUUUGGUAUAAUCUAGUUUCCACUUUUAUCUUAUUUUUCUUUAAUUUAUAAUUCUUGUACAUUGAUUGAGUAAAGGACUUUCUUUUUUAAUAAACUACACAACUAAAUAAAUAAAUAAAUUUAAAGACCACGCGAUUGUGAACUCGAACCCAAGACCUUAGGCCUUAGACAUUAAUCACCUACCGCUAGGCCAAUACACGCACAUGGCUUUCUUGUUUGUAAGGAAUGUGCAUAAGACAAUGGACUUAGGUUAGUGAACUCGGACAAACGAUUUAGUCGUUAUCAGUUGAGUUUGGACCUGCAGUCAUUGUCGUCGUUGACUGUCGCCCCUUCUGAGUAUCAAUUCGCCGAUAUUGAAGGUGGUCGUCCUCCAACAAUAAGAGCCAUAACACCAACUUUUACACUCCACGUAGGGAAGAGAGAGAGAUAGAGAGUCGUCGGCGAUGGAGGGAUGCGAGAUAGAAGAAGAUUGAAGGAGCCACUCCGCUUCAUUUUUAUGAAAUGUUUUUUAAUUUUUUUUAUGACAUAUCAUCCAUAUUAAUUUAAAAAGUGUAAUAUUUGAAUACACUGUGACAAUAUGUGACGAGCUAUAUCAACUUCUCAGAACCAAAAAAUAGAUGCGAGUUUUAAUAGAUACAAAGUCGAUAGUUUAAGGUAAAAAUAAACAUUUCCUAUAAUUCGUGAUAUAAGGGAUAGUGCGAAAAUAAUUUAAGGUUUGGAGCGCUAUAUUUAUCAAAUUUAUUUCACACAAUUACAAUAUCCCAAAUUUUUUAUCAAUGUUUGUUCCAUGCAUGUGGACUGUGGACAUUAUCUCAAUUUUUCAUCAAUAUUUGUUCCAUGCAUGUGGACUGUGGACCAUUAAGAGGGGUGUUUGGUGAACUUAUAAUUAGUUCCUUAAAACAUAUUAUAACUGGUUAUAUAAGAUAUAGAAAUAAGCUAUAAAAAAAAAAUCUUCAGCUACAACUUAUUUUUUAUAAUUUCAUACAUAAUAAUCAUUUUAACUUAUAAUCUAUUUUCAUCGUAUACUUUUUUUUAUAUCGUCUCUCCUAGAGUUUCUGUCUUUAGCUUAUAAGUUCAAUAAAUCAAUCAUUUUAACAACUUAAUUAUAAGCUUUUGAAAUAUUAUAUUACGUAUAAACUUUUAAAAUAUUUUAUAAAUUUUUUAAAAUAAGCUUAAUCAAGCACGUUUAAAGUAAGUCACCAACUUAGCUUUAUAAUAACAAAAAUUAAGAUAUAAAUUGCAACGUAUUAAAAAUUUGCAAUAUUGAAAAACCCACCCCUCAUUAGUGGCGGAGUCAGGGACAAAAGACCCCCCAAUUUUUUAUUUUUAUUUGUUUCUUUAAUAUAAUAUAUAUAUAUAUAUAUAUAUAUAUAUAUAUAUAGAGAAUGGAUCCGUGGAGAAUCACAAGUAUUUUAAGAAUAGAGAAUCAAUCUCAGCCUUUGGAUUUAGCAUAUCUAAUGGUUUAUAUUAUUUUGUUUUAUUUGAUUUUUAAAUAGAAGGCUAACCGUCAAUCUAAUAAAAAAAACUGAAACAAAUCCCUUGAUAUAAAUACUUAGAAGCUUGUGCGCUCAUGCUAUAGAAAAUACCUGAAAAUGAGAUUGUUUUGCGCAAUGUAACUUCCAUGCUCAUAAUUAGUGUAUAUAAAUUUUAAAAUCCUGUAAAUAAAUAUUUAUUUUGUAAAGCGACAAUAAUAAAUAAAUAACAAUAAAAAUGAAUGUUAAUAAUAAUUAUAAGUAUAACUCUAAUAAAAUAAAUAUAAACAUAUUGAUAUGGGAGCAAAACAAUUACUAUAUCAUUAUAUUUUAUCAAGUAAUAUGUUUGAUGUAUUAAUUUAUUCUAGAAUACUAUGUUAAUAAUGGAGAUUCACAGAUGUUAUGUUAAUAAUGUAGAUUCACAGGUGGCACUUAUGCUCGAUUACAUAUUUUAUUUUAUUUUAAUAUCGUAAAUUGCAUAUUAUAUAUUUAUAAGAGUAUAUUACAUUAGAUAUAUUAUACACUAAGGGUGCGUUCUCUUUGGUUGUAAAUUUAUCAUCAGAAAAGAAAGGAUAAACAAAAUUUCAUCUUUUAAAUCCUUCAUUUCUUUUCCCACAUUUCCUACUUGACCCUUACUCAUUCCUCAUUUACACUACAAAUGAGGGAUAAUAUUACUCAUUCCUCAUUUCCUACCCCCCACAAUGGUCGGCCGGUGGAGUCUCCGUUUCGGCCGACUCAUCGGUCCCUUCGUCGGUGACAGUUGCUAUCUCGGUUACAUGCGUGUCCAGCGGGGCAUGCUCGGGUGCGCCGGUUAGCGCCUUGUUGUCGGGGAUGCUAUGCAUCACCGGGGGCGGGGCGGCGGCUUGUGCUCUUGGGCAUCGCGUACGUGAUGACGCGUGAGUGGUGUUUGACGUGUAUGGGCAUGUUGGAUCCCUGCUCGGGCAGCGACGACAUCUCCUCCGCGUCUCUUCAAUUUUUGGCGCGAGCGUUUGCUCGGCCGACGUCGGUUUCCUGUGCUGAAUACCUAUUGCGAUGGCAUUGUGUCGGCUACGUUUGUUCCCUUCCCACCUUGUUCCGCUGCUCCACGUGGGCGUGCGGUGCGGGGCGGGCCAAAUCGCACGCGUCGUGUGUCGUACCGCGUUCGCCCCUUGGGGGGUUCGGGUUGUCGACCCACGACGUGUUGCUCGGUCUCUCGGGUACGGUGCAUCAUGUGGGUACGAGGCCGUCGGCCUCCGAGCACCACAAUCAAGCGUUCUACGCUUCGUGCGAACGACCGUCGGUUCGGUCUUUGGCCGUGCUCUCGUAGCUCGGUUCAAGUCGGGCCGACGUCGAUGAGGAAUGCUACCUGGUUGAUCCUGCCAGUAGUCAUAUGCUUGUCUCAAAGAUUAAGCCAUGCAUGUGUAAGUAUGAACUAAUUCAGACUGUGAAACUGCGAAUGGCUCAUUAAAUCAGUUAUAGUUUGUUUGAUGGUACCUGCUACUCGGAUAACCGUAGUAAUUCUAGAGCUAAUACGUGCAACAAACCCCGACUUCUGGAAGGGAUGCAUUUAUUAGAUAAAAGGUCGACACGGGCUCUGCCCGUUGCUACGAUGAUUCAUGAUUAAAUCGACCAUACCUUAUACCUUACCUUUACCUCCGGUAUGGAGAAAAUUCAUACCUUUACCUUACCUUUACCUACGGUAUACCUUAGUUCGGUAUACCUUAAGUACGGUAUGAAGAAUAUACAAAACCUUUACCGUACCUUUAUUUCGGUAUACCUUACCGAAUUUCGGUAUACCGUACUUUCACGGUAUACCGCACUUUAACGGUAUACCAAAAUAAUCGGUAUUAUCAAAAUCGAAAAAAUUCAAUCGGUAUACCGCACUUUAUAUUCACAUACUUGUAUGCAUUCAUGUAAUAUAUAAUAAAUUAUAUAAAUGUUAUAAGUUACAUAUAAUUUAUAUGUUAGACGUAAUAUUAUUUAUAAUAUAUUACUAAUAUUAUAACUAUGUUAUUAUAUAUGUAACUAUUAUAAGUUAGAUGUAUAAUCUAUUGUAAAAUAAUAAUUUUAGUUAUAUAUUAUAACUAUACUAUAAUAUCAAAAUAAACAAUUUUAUUUUAUCGUAUGAUUUAUACUAUAUACUAUAUUUUAUUUAUUUUUGUAUCAUUUGAUGAUAUUUAUAAAUUCAUUACAAUUGUAUAUAUUCACAUAAUAUAGAUUAUAUACAUCUAUUUUAUUAAAAUUUAUAAAUAUUUUUAAAAAUAUAGACAAUAAAAAUAAAUAUUAUAUAUUUUAAAACUAUAGAUUUUUGAUACGAUAUAUACCGCGAUUUUCGGUAUACCAAUAUAUACGGACAACUGCGGUAUAUCAGAAUAAGGUAUUGUACCUUAUUACCGGUAUAUACCGAAUAUUAAGGUAUACCAGAAUAAGGUAUGAUACCGCAUCACCGGUCUUUGGCCGUGCUCUCGUAGCUCGGUUCAAGUUGGGCUGACGUCGAUGAGGAAUGCUACCUGGUUGAUCCUGCCAGUAGUCAUAUGCUUGUCUCAAAGAUUAAGCCAUGCAUGUGUAAGUAUGAACUAAUUCAGACUGUGAAACUGCGAAUGGCUCAUUAAAUCGGUUAUAGUUUGUUUAAUGGUUCCUGCUACUUGGAUAACCGUAGUAAUUCUAGAGCUAAUACGUGCAACAAACCCCGACUUCUGGAAGGGAUGCAUUUAUUAGAUAAAAGGUCGACACGGGCUCUGCCCGUUGCUACGAUGAUUCAUGAUAACUCGACGGAUCGCACGGCCCUCGUGCCGGCGACGCAUCAUUCAAAUUUAUGCCCUAUCAACUUUCGAUGGUAGGAUAGUGGCCUACUAUGGUGGUGACGGGUGACGGAGAAUUAGGGUUCGAUUCCGGAGAGGGAGCCUGAGAAACGGCUACCACAUCCAAGGAAGGCAGCAGGCGCGCAAAUUAGUGUGAUAAUAUUAUCCCUCCUUUGUAGUGUAAAUGAGGAAUCAGUAAGGGUCAAGUAGGAAAUGUGGGAAAAGAAAGGAAGGAUUUAAAAGAUGAAAUUUUGUUUAUCAUUUCUUUUCUGAUGAUAAAUUUACAACCAAAGAGAACGCACCCUUAGUGUAUAAUAUAUGUCAUUAUUCAGCCUAAAUUUUUUAUAAUCAAUUGCUUUUUGAUGGGGAUUGAAUGCAUUCGUAUCUAUAUGAGUCUGGGUAAUUGCUUCUAAUCUCGCGGUACAAUCAACGCAAUGAUUAUAGAUUAAAUGCAUUUAUAUUAAUAUAUAAUUAAGGUAAAUUAGUGUGUAACGCAUCGCAAUUUGACGGAGAACGGAUUUUACAUCGUAAUUUAUAAUCAUUGUACAUCGUUUAUAGUUAUAGUUUAUGAAAUGGUCUUUAUAUAAAUUAUUUUAUAGUUAAUUUUAUUUGAUUAAAUUAAAUUAAAUUUGCGGCCCAAUCACGCGACCGCGAGGCUGGCCCGCGUGGUUGCUCUGCAAUACUCUUACUUGAUCGUGCAGCCCGGGCACACGACGGCCUUGCUGGCCUGCAUGACCUCCUUCUGGCGCGCCAUGUAUUUAGUGCUCUGUAUAAUGUAAUUCUGUAUCCUUAGUGUGAUUAUGUAAGCUGUAAUGAGUUUAUUUUCUAUGCAUUUGGUGCAAACUGUCUACAUAUUAAGCUGAAAUCCAUCAAGCUGUUUCUUAAACAUGAGAAGAUACAGAGUAGAAACAAGAAAUGAAGAAAUCACAAUUGUCAGAGCAACUAAAUGUCAUUUAGAAACACACAACCACCAAAUGAGAAGAAAAAUCAAUUAUCCAAAUUAACGCCAACUGCUCUAGCUCAUGGAUUGAUAUUCACGAUCCUUCAUUCCAUUUUGGAGAUUAAGUUGAAUUCUUAUCUUUGUGCAAUGCUUUUGGUUGUCACAUCUUUAACUCCCUGAAAACACUUGACACAAUCUUUUUCGGGAGGGUAUCCAGAUAUGGACAAUCAAGGAUUUCUAAUUUCUCGAGCCCAAACAUUGCAUCAUCUCCACAUUGUACAUUCUCAAAUUCCACAACUCUUCGAAGCAAGGACUUGAGGCUUGAGAAGUCGUUAUUCAAGAUCACCAUUUUUGACCAGUGUAUGCAUUCCGCAAUUUAAGGAAUGUAGAGGGUAGAUUCCCAAGUAGUGGCAUGGGGUCUUCAUCAAGACAACUAUCAAUUAAUGUCAAUGAUUUAAGAAAUCGAGGGUAACUUAUUGGAAGCUUGGUCAGGAGUCCAUCCAAUUUGAGUGUACGGAGAUUUUGUAGAAUAGCAAGCUCAUCCAAACAAGGCAUGCUUCUGAAACAAUACCCUCUUAAGAUUAGGUGUUUUAGACUCUCCAACACAGCCAAUGACACAAAGAGCUUGCUUACAUCGAGUUUCCAUCCAAUUCUUCUAUGCCCAAUUUUGAAGACUAAUCAACUCCUUUAAGCCCGAGAACUCAUAUGUCAAUUAUACACCGAGAGUAGGUUAAGGUCUUAGAUGCUGUAGCGCUUCUAUUCCAAAGGCAUCCCAAAUCAUAUCAGACAGGUAGAGGUGGCGAAGGCUACACAAUUCCCAUAUAACAUCCGGCACCUCCACCAUAAAGUUUUGAGCUAGUCAAGAACCUCAACUUUUUCAACACCCCAACGACUCUGGAAGCUCUUUUAUGUAAUUAUUUCUCAACCCCAAGUAUCUCAAUUCCAUCAAUGAGCUGAUAGUUUCUGGUACAAUCUUCAACCCAAAAUCUUCCAAGUCAAGUAUCUUAAGUUGUUCAAAGCUCUUCCAAUAAGACGGAUUAGUGUCUAAGUAGCCACCUCCAUGGAGGAAGAGAGAAACAAGAUGUUUAUCUUGUUCCGUUGAGUGGUUGAACUUGUCUCUGCUACAAAUGGUAACACGAUGACAACGAGGACUCUGAGAAGGUCGAUUAUUUCCAUUGUUCCUUAGGAUCUCAAAAUCGAAGUCCUCCUCUGCUUUUUGGAUGGAUAGCAUGUGUAGCAGAACAUUGAUGUGAUACUCCGUGCUCUUGUCCCCAACUUCAAUAAAAGAUUCAUUGAUUAAACCAUCUAAAUAUGGUUUACAUUCAUCUUCUGAAUCCACUACUCCUCCUACAACCCAAAUCUGUGUCAACUUUUCUGCCCUGAAAGUUGUAUUUUCCUUAAAGAAUGCCAUAGACAAGAAACAUGGCCUCAGCUUGGGUUCCAAUUUAUGAUAAAAUGGUUCCAAUAACUUCAAUGUUGAACCAAAAUCAACUGAUUCAAGAAGUUGUUCCCAUUCACCCCCUCCUGAGAGUUUCUUUUCCACUAACUGCUUUCCCACCUCUUUUAUAGCUAAUGGCAGACCGCCACAUUUUCUCAACAUUUGUUUUCCAUAUACUCCAAGGACUUUGGGAAUUUGUGCUCAUCCAAUAAUUUAUUGCCAUGGUUUAUUGUUUUCAGAAACAAUUGCCAGCUCUUCUUAGAAUCCAAAGGUUUCAUCUGAUGAACAUUUGCAUCAUAUGCCCUUAUGUCGACAUGUGUCGUGUGACUUGUGAGCAGCAAUCUACUUCCUGCGACUGCUUACAUAAGAACAAUACAGAAAGGAACAGUCAGAAGGUUAAUUAUUGAGUCGAGAAAAUUUAUAUUGUAGAUUACUUUAGUGAUGUAGUAUUAUUUAAUAAAAAAAAAAAGUUUAAUCAAAAAAACUUUAAAUUUUGAACAAGCGCUUAAAUUCAAAUCAUAAGAAGACGAAAGAUGAUCAUACAUACCUUCUUCUGGAAGAGCUUUUAAGAAAGACUUCAAGCUCAUUUGUUUGGGCACAUCGUCGAGAACUAUAAGAUAUCGCUUUCCUUCCAGGUGUUGGCGAAGCAUAUCUCGGAGGCUGGGGUUGUCCAUAUUCUCCAAUAAGGAAGAUGUAUGGAGAUUCUGAGGAUCUUCUAGUUGCUGUAUUAGUUUGACAAGUAGCUCUUUGAUAGUGACAAACGUAGAAUUAGAUACCCAAGCACGGGGCUCGAAUCGCUCAAUGACAGUUGGAUGGUUGAAUAUCUCUCUCGCAAGAGUUGUCUUUCCAAUACCACUCAUCCCUUUGAUAAGAAUAGUCCCUCUAGUGCCACCAAUAAUCCUUUUGUGAAGCAGCAUUUCCACAUCUUCCUCCAACCCCACCAAUGGAUAUUUGUCAUCUUCAACAUUUUCUGAUGAUCUCAUGUUGGACUCAUCAUCUGCUAGCUUGAGCAUCUGUUUUUUGAUCUCUCCGAUCCAACCAAGGAUGGAAUCAUAUUCAAAUAACUCAAAGUAGUUGUUUUCUUUGAAAAUUUUGUGGGCAUCGUCAGCCAUCUCGACAAGGUCAGAUAUUAAAAAAUUUAGGCUUCUUCCCUCUUCCAAUUUCUUAUCCCUCACAAUAUCCACAAUCUCUCUCAACCCUUUAAUUACCCUUUCCAUUUGCUUCUUUAUGUCCUUCACUGUUUCUGUGUUCUCUUGAUAAUUAAUGUCCAGAUUCUUUAUCACAGAUAAGAGGAGAGCCUCAGACAUGUUUCUGCUUCCACCAAACUGCCCUAACAGCCAAUUUAACAACAUUAGUAGCUAGGAAAUGACACAUUCCAACAAAUCCAUAAAUUAUUAGUAUCGAAGAAAUGAUUUUGGAUUGAAUAAAAUUUACUCAAGCGAAAGAUUUAAAAAAUCUAACACUAUAUGAGAACUUCCUCAUGAUCAUGUGAAUUUAAUUUUCGAUAUACUUGAAAACAUCAUAAACACGUGAAUUCUCAAAUUAAUUAAUCGAAAUUGCUAGUAUGGCGCGAUUGUAUAAGGCCUAGGGUCGUUUCACUCGUCAUACUGUCGCGCCAUGUUGGCAAUUCUGAUGUCUAGCUCAGCUUUAAUUUGGGAUUAAUUAUAUCUAUUGGAAUAUAUUUGACACUCAUCACAUGGUUACACGAUCUAAAAAUGAUAUUUUCAAACCUAAAGCAUAUAUAGCUGUACUUGAUGGACCUCAUGUUCACAAGUCUAUUCUUGCUUUACCUUUGACACUGGAGGAAGCUCUGUCUCAUAAUGGUUGGUAUGACGCUAUGGCUCAAGAGUUUGAUGCUAUAUUGGGCAAAGGCACGUGGGUACUUAUUCCACCUGACCCCACUCAAAAGGUUAUCAUUAAUAAGUGGGUAUUCAAGGUAAAACUCAAUCCAGAUUACACCUUAGACAAGUUGAAAGCGUAGCAAGGGGUUUCGAACAAAUGGCUGGGGUAGACUUUGUUGAAACUUUCAGUCCAGUGGUGAAAACUUCCACUAUCAGGUUAAUGUUCUCACUUGCAGCAAAACAUGGGUGGUCUAUACAACAAACAUAUGUGAAUAAUGCUUUUAUAAAUGGAGCAUUAACUGAUACGAUUUAUAUGGCUCAACCUGUUGGGUUUGAGGAUCCUAAACACCCUGAUUAUGUUUGUAAGUUGCAGAAUGCUUUAUAUAGCUUGAAGCAGGCUCCUCGGGCCUGGUAUGACACCCUCACUACUGAAAUCUGCAGCCUUGGUUUUCAAAAGUCCACUGCUGACUUCUCCUUAUUCUAUCAGAAAUCAGGUUCUGCUCUUACUCUAAUCUUGGUGUAUGUUGAUGAUAUACUAGUUACUGGUGACGAUCUUACUAUUGUCACCUCUGUUAUUGAUCAUCUUCACAAGAAGUUUUCAGUUAAAAAUCUUGGGGGUGUUAGCUAUUUUUUGGGAAUUGAACUGCUUCAUCACAGCAAGAGUUUUUACUUAUGCCAACAUAAGUAUCUUCAUGAGCUUUUGGUUAAAACAAAGAUGGUUGACAGCAAACCUUGUGACAAACAUGGUUUUCGUACCUUAAUUCCACAUGAUUUGUUGUCAUUUUCCUUCAUAUUUUGCUUACCAAUGCGUGUUUGUACCCUAAUGUUGAGUUUUAUGAAGAUUUGAUUCAUUGGUGUAGUUUUGGAGUGAUUUCAGGAAAAAUCAAAGAUUAAUUGGAGGAUUUUGAAGACAUGAGAUUGAAGUACGUCUCGAGAGAAAUCCGUGAGCACAAACGGCGACAAAAUCCGAGUCCGGACGAGGGAGAACAGAGCAAAACGAGCGGACUGCGCAAGGAGCCUAGGGCCCCCCGGUCACUACCCGCGGCCGCGGGCAUGACCGCGGCUUCCUGGGCGUUUUGAUACAGAUUGCAUCCGUGGUCGGGGCCGCAGCCGCGGGUCCGACCGCGGGCCUCUCCAAAAGCUCCCCCACGGUCCUACGCCGCGGUCACGGCCGUGACCGCGGGAGAAACACGGAAUUGUGCGUUUUUGUGGGCCCAGACGAGAUUUUCAGCCCCAAAUACCCAUUUUUUUCCCCCUCUUUUGGGAUGAUCCACCAUUCUUCACCUCUCAAAAACCCUAGCCUCCAUUCUCUACCAUUUUUAUCUCUUCCACACACAAAAACAACACCAAAAUCAAAGAAAGAAGGGGAAGACUUGGAAAGGAGCUCAUCAAUAUUACAUAAUUGAAGAUCAAGAUUAUAGGAUUUGUCUAUGAAUCUCUAUCUCUCUAUAUCUUUAUUUAUGUUUUCUUAUGACUUGGGAUUUAUUUUUAUUAUGAAUAUGGUUGGCUAAAAUCCCUUAUCUUAGGGAUUAGAUUAGAUGGAUUUGUAAUGGAUUGAUUUCUUUGUUUAAUAUAUAUCUUGAUUAUGCUUAUUGUUAUAUUUUCAAGCCCUAGAUUUAUCUCUUGUAUGAUUCGUUGGCCACCUUUUGUGCAUUUCUAAUUUGUGAUUUGAAUCGGGAGAAGAUAAUUACAAUAGAUUAGGAGUUUGAUACAUGUCAUCUCAAUAAACCGGGAGGUUGAGAGUUGGGUGAGGGCAUGUUGAUCUUUUGUGCUCUUGGGAGUUAUAGGUAAGAAAUUGACCGGGGACGGCAAUUAUGACCCGUAAUCUACUGUUUUAGUCGUCCGGGAGGGGGCUAAAACUAGUGGGGAGAUCGCCCUAGAUAAGAAGGCCAUAUCAAGAUUAAUAUUGAUUUAGAUUAAAAUUCAUUACAAUCCAUCGAAAUAUAGUCCCUAUGAUAACUUUCCUUCGAGUCAUUCCCCAAUUUAUUAGUUAAGUUUAUUUUGUUGUUAUUUUAGUUUACUUGCUUUAAUUUAGCUUUGUUUUAGUUCUCAACAUCUCUUGAACUUUGGUUGUCUUAAUAGAUUGAAAACAACUUAUUAAUAGUAUUUAGAAGUUUGAAUUCACCAAUCCUUGUGGGAUAUGACCUUGCUUCCCUAUAUUGCAACUACACCGUGCACUUGCGGCGUAGCGAAAAAUAAUAGCGAACACCUUGCCCUACGCCUAUGCUUCCAGCUGCUAAGCUUUCCAAAAAUGAUGUUGAAUUCUUCCCUGAUCCUACUCUAUACUGCAGUACUAUUGGAGCAUUGCAAUAUCUCACUAUCACAAGGCCAGACAUUGCCUUUUCUGUCAAUAAACUAAGUCAGUUUUUGACAAAUCCCACUACUGUUCACUGGAAUGCGUGUAAACGCUUACUUCGUUAUUUGAAGGGCACUGCUUCUCUCAGAUUAGCAUUUCAUUAUUCCUCUUCAUCUCACAUUGUUGGUUUCUCAGAUGCAGAUUGGGCCAGCUGCCCAGAUGAUAGACGAUCCAGCGGAGGGCAUUGCGUUUUCUUAGGGCCUAAUCUUAUUACAUGGUCUGCCAAAAAGCAAGAGGUUGUAUCAAGAAGUAGUGCAGAGUCCGAAUAUCGGAGCAUGGCUAAUGCUACUACAGAAAUUGUUUGGCUGCAAGCCUUAUGUCACGAACUUGGCCUCUCUAUCACAGCUCCUCACAAGCUUUGGUGUGAUAAUGUGAGUGCCAUCGCUUUGGCCGGGAAUCCAGUUUUUCAUUCUCGCACCAAGCAUAUCGAGGUAGAUGUUCACUACGUUCGAGACAAGGUCAAGGAUGGCACUAUGGACGUAGGGUAUGUGCCUUCCACGGAUCAAUUAGCUUACAUAUUCACCAAACCGUUAGCAUGAUACAAGAUUCUGUAUGUUAGAGGAAAUGUUAAAUCUUGUUGAGCUUCGCACAUGAUGAAGGUCUGGUUUCAUGGGGGAGUAUUGGAGUAUAUUUGAAAUGAUGCAGCAAAGUUUAUUUUGUUGCCUUAGUUUCUGUUAGUUAGUUACAGUAGAGGUUAGUUAGCUACAGUAGACGGUAGUUAGCAAGUUAGUUGUAAAUUGUAAUCAUCUUCUUGAAGCUUCUAUUUCGUUGUAUAAAUAGAGCAGCUUCUACAUCUUGUAGAUCUGAUUUUCAUAUUCAAUAAACAUGAGUUCUUCGCCUACAAUCUAUAGCCUAGUCUAUUCAAUAAUAUCCCGUGGAAACAUUAAGAAUUGAUUUUCGAUUGGACAAAUUUGCUAAUUUAAAAUGUCAUUUGAGAAGCCAUAAAAUGUAGAAAGUCCUUAUUGAAAAUAAUUUUACACUAGACUAAAACUUAACAAGGAAGAGACCAAAAAUCUUGAUGAUCUUUCAAAGUCGAAACAAAGUUGGAAGUUAUUUUUAACAAUCCUAAAACUAAUUAACCAUAGGAAUUGUGGCCAAAUUUUUUGAUGAAGAAGUUGACGUUUAUUUCAGACCUAAUGGUAAAAAUAGGACCGUAACUUUCAGGAUUUUUCGAAAAAGGACUAUAAGUUACGGAUUUUGAAAAUAAGGACUAUAAAUUUUUUUUUUAACAUUUACACUCCUGUUUCGGGCCAAAAAAAAAUUGACAUGGCAGUCCACGUCAGCAACGGGCUCUAGGUGGCAUCAAAAGCCCGAACAAUUAAUUUUGGGCCCGAAACAGGAGUGUAGAAUGGAGAAUAAAAAAGCACGUAUUAUAUGAAGAGAAGGCAAGCAGACACAAAAAUCCCCAAAAACAAAAAAAUCAUAAAUAAACACAAACAGAAAAAUUAAACACAAAAAGCCAAAAAAAAAAUAAAUAAUAAAAUUACAUAGAAAGAAAUUGGACCUGGCUAGCUUGUAGAGGAGCUUGCAGACACAAAAAUCCCGCAAUCACACUGUGAUAGAACUCAUAAUCUUCUUCUUAUCUUAUGAUAUUUUGAAUUGAUACAACUAACUCUGAUUUCAUUUUGACAAUAGUCAAUAAGCAAGCAUUGUAAAUUUGUAUUCGAGAGGAUUGAGUAAGAGCAGAUUUAAGAUAACAUACCUGGGCUGCUAGCGACGGACCAAGGACGAAGGAGCAGUGGUUGGGGGAUCGAGGCGCGGCGGAAUCCGGUGGUGUUUACUGUGAUUAGAUUUAAUUAGGGCUCUGAAUGCUGAAUUUUGUUUGAGUAGAAUUAGAGAUUCAGAAGGUUAGAAAGUUAACGAUUUUGAAGAAGCCAAAUAGUGUGCAUAAUUUGAAGUGCUGAUUUGUUGUUUCACGCAUAAAAUUUGAAGGGAUAAAAAACAAGUUUGAAAGAUAUCUAAUAUCGCUUUCACAAUGGAAAAUACAGAAUGAUUUGGUGGCUUCAACAGUUGGAAGUCUUUCAAUAAUAAAUUCAUUAUUUGCACGGUUUCACAAGAAACAAGUAAAAGUUGAUCCAAUAUCGAUCCUAGCACCAAACAAUAUUAAUAUUUCUGGCUCAGGAUGAGGUUGGAUUCACAGUAUUAUCAAAUUCAUCAACAGAACUGAAUUAUGUAUGGGAAAGUGAGAAAAUUUACUCCCUUAGUCCCAUAUAUAUAGGCUAAUUGAGAUCACAUGGAUUAAGAAAACUCAUUGAAAAUCUAUACUAUAUUAAAAAGAGAGUUUUCAAUUUCAAAUUGAUUUCAAAUCAAUUUCAAAAUUGAGUGGCAAUUUUGCAGUUAAAAUAAAAUUGAAGGUUUAUUUAUAAGCUAUACAUCUUUUUUUUCUUUUUCUUUAAUUUCUUAUUUUUCUAUUUUAUUUCUUUUUUUAAAAUUAUGAAAUUUGACUAAUUAUAAAAUAUUUGAUGUGCAUAUCAAAUUAAAGAUCAUGACAAGAGCUUUAAUUUGAUAUAUGUUAUGUAAAUAUUAGAUUUAAAAUAUAAAAAUUAAAUUUGUUUAAAGAUUAAAACUUAAGAAAAUUCUCUCUCCUCUCCCUCUUUUUUUUAAUAAAUCUAUUUUUUCAAUUAUCUUUUAACUUAUAUUGUUGUCUUUUUUCACAAUAUCAUUUUUUAUUAAUAUGAAUUAUUCUUUAUUAUUUUAUAUUAAACUAAAAUAUAUUUAUCUUAAAUUAUAAAUAGAAUAUCAAAUAAUAAUCAAAUGUAUAUAUAAUAAAAAUAUAAAAAAUUUUACAUACAAUAAACGAUAAAAAUACUAUGAAAUAUAUAUAUAGGCUGAUUGAGAUUUUAACAUGGAUUAAGAAAACUUAUUGGAAAUGAAAAUAUAUAAGUAACCUUCCUAAUAUGCCCAUAUUUAUUAUUCAAUAAUGUAUUAAAGUUGGAGUAAAUUAAAGAAUUAAAUAGGGAUAUAAUAGUAAAUGAGUAAAAAAAACAUUACUUUUUAUGGCAAUAGGCCUAUAUAAAUGGGACAUCCGAACAAGGAAAUCAAGCCUAUAUAAAUGGGACAUCCGAAAAAGGAAAUCAAGCCUAUAUAUAUGGGAUGGAGGGAGUAUCAAAUUCACAGUAGGUGUUGGGUUCUAGUUCAAAAACUUUGCCUAAAUAAUGUGUAAAUUUAACAACCACUAAUAAAAUAUAAGAAGCCAGCUGAAUGAUUAAUGAGGAAAAAAAAAAAACUUCCACUUUCAUCCCACAUGCAUUCUGACAGUCCAUAGUCGAGUUGAAUUGAUUGUUGUCAAGUGUUGGAGAAAAUAGAUGAUUAGGGUCGUCUCUCAGGGUGGGCGAGCAUGGGCGACCGCCUAGGGCCCAUCUAGUUUUUGGGGGCCCAAAAUAUUGUGUAUACUCUUAUAUCUACUUAUUAUUAUUAUUAUGGGCUCAAUAUAUAUUUUUUUAUGUAUUACUACUAAUAUUAAAAAUAUUCGGGGCCAAAAAGUUACAUCCCAAAAUAUUUUUGGAGCCCAAAUUAAUAAAUUACAUCUCUAAAUAUUUUUGUAUAAUAGUGUGACUGUGUGAAAAUCUUAAAUUCUUUUUCAGUUGUAUGCUGAAGUUGAGGAUAUUAGUGAGAAUAGAGAUAACUUGACCGAGCAUGAUUACCUUCUUAAUAUGCCAAAUGACGAACAUAGAGCCAAUGAUGAACAUUUUAUUUCUUCAUGUGAUAUAUAUGAUCUGAGAAAUUGGGAUAAUAUUGAUAAUAAUGCACACGAUAUUUUAGUUGGAAAAAGGGCCUAGCUAUUAGAGAAAUGAAUCUUGUAUUUCCUUUAGGCGACAUCUCUAGGCUAUUUUUCUUUUGCUCACUNGACUAUAAUUUUUUUUUUUAACAUUUACACUCCUGUUUCGGGCCAAAAAAAAAAUUGACAUGGCAGUCCACGUCAGCAACGGGCUCUAGGUGGCAUCAAAAGCCCGAACAAUUAAUUUUGGGGCCCGAAACAGGAGUGUAAAUGUUAAAAAAAAAAAUUAUAGUCCUUAUUUUCAAAAUCCGUAACUUGUAGUCCUUUUUCUAAAAAUCCUGAAAGUUACGGUCCUAUUUUUACCAUUAGGUCUUUAUUUCAUGAUGCCAAAAAUUCUUUCGUUUAGAAUGGAGAAUAAAAAAGCACGUAUUAUAUGAAGAGAAGGCAAGCAGACACAAAAAUCCCACAAACAAAAAAAAUCAUAAAUAAACACAAACAGAAAAAUUAAACACAAAAGCCAAAAAAAAUAAAAUAAAUAAAAUUCAUAGAAAGAAAUUGGCCUGGCUGCUUGUAGAGGAGCUUGGAGCUUGAGUAAUCGUGCAAUCACACUGUGAUAGACUCAUAAUCUUCUUCUUAUCUUAUGAUAUUUUGAAUUGAUACAACUAACUCUGAUUUCAUUUUGACAAUAGUCAAUAAGCAAGCAUUGUAAAUUUGUAUUGGAUUGAGUAAAGCAGAUUUAAGAUAACAUACCUGGGGUGCUAGCGACGGACCAAGGAUGAAGGAGCAGUGGUUGGGGGAUGGAGGCGCGGCGGAAUCCGGUGGUGUUUACUGUGAUUAGAUUUAAUUAGGGCUCUGAAUGCUGAAUUUUGUUUGAGUAGAAUUAGAGAUUCAGAAGGUUAGAAAGUUAAGAUUAAAACUUAAGAAAAUUCUCUCUCCUCUCCUCUUUUUUUUGAAUAAAUCUAUUUUUUCAAUUAUCUUUUAACUUAUAUUGUUUUCUUUUUUCACAAUAUCAUUUUUUAUUAAUAUGUGAAUUAUUCUUUAUUAUUUUUAUAUUGAACUAAAAUAUAUUUAUCUUAAAUUAUUUAUAUAAUAAUCAAAUGAUAAUCAAUUUUAUAUAUAAUAAAAUAUAAAAAUAUUUUUCGUGCGUUGCACGAGUGCAAAUGCUAGUGAAAUAUUUAUAUAGGCUGAUUGAGAUUUUAACAUGGAUUAAGAAAACUUAUUGGAAAUGAAAAUAUAUAAGUAACCUUCCUAAUAUGCCCAUAUUUAUUAUUCAAUAAUGUAUUAAAGUUGGAGUAAAUUAAAGAAUUAAAUAGGGAUAUAAUAGUAAAUGAGUAAAAAAACAUUACUUUUUAUGGCAAUAGGCCUAUAUAAAUGGGACAUCCGAACAAGGAAAUCAAGCCUAUAUAAAUGGGACAUCCGAAAAAGGAAAUCAAGCCUAUAUAUAUGGGACGGAGGGAGUAUCAAAUUCACAGUAGGUGUUGGGUUCUAGUUCAAAAACUUUGCCAAAUAAUGUGUAAAUUUAACAACCACUAAUAAAAUAUAAGAAGCCAGCUGAAUGAUUAAUGAGGAAAAAAAAAAACUUCCACUUUCAUCCCACAUGCAUUCUGACAGUCCAUAGUCGAGUUGAAUUGAUUGUUGUCAAGUGUUGGAGAAAAUAGAUGAUUAGGGUCGUCUCUCAGGGUGGGCGAGCAUGGGCGACCGCCUAGGGCCCAUCAUUUUUGGGGGCCCAAAAUAUUGUGUAUACUCUUACAUCUACUUAUUAUUAUUAUUAUGGGCUCAAUAUAUAUUUUUUUAUGUAUUACUACUAAUAUUAAAAAUAUUCGGGUCCAAAAAGUUACAUCCCAAAAGAUUUUUGGAGCCCAAAUUAAUAAAUUACAUCUCUAAAUAUUUUUGUAUAAUAGUGUGACUGUGUGAAAAUCUUAAAUUCUUUUUCAGUUGUAUGCUGAAGUUGAGGAUAUUAGUGAGAAUAGAGAUAACUUGACCGAGCAUGAUUACCUUCUUAAUAUGCCAAAUGACGAACAUAGAGCCAAUGAUGAACAUUUUAUUUCUUCAUGUGAUAUAUAUGAUCUGAGAAAUUGGGAUAAUAUUGAUAAUAAUGCACACGAUAUUUUAGUUGGAAAAAGGGCCUAGCUAUUAGAGAAAUGAAUCUUGUAUUUCCUUUAGGCGACAUCUCUAGGCAUUUUUCUUUUGCUCACUAUACUAGAAAAUUAAGCAAUGGUGAAGUGCAAGAUCGAAAGUGGUUAAGUAUAUAGUAAAAAUAUUUGUCAAAUACACGUUGAGAAAGUUGUAUUAAAAGUAUUCUUAGAUUUCAGUUCGUUGAAUUGAGAGAUGCUUUAUUAAAAUUAUGUGAUAUUUGUGGUGAUGUCAUGAACUCGUCGUUUGAGCUUCGCGCAAAUAAAUUCUGUGCCCACAACUAGGUUAGCUAGUAGUAAGUCCAGAGUCGAAUCCAUAGGGAACUGAGUGUAAUCUCUCCUGCAAGGGUAUCACUAAAAAAAGGUUUUGUAUCUAGGUUGUUCCGGUCACAACUUGCUUGUGGGCAUAAUGGGGUUUCAGACUAAACUGAAAUCACAAAAAUAACUUAAUCAAAUAACAAAGCAAUUCUAACUUGCGUUGGACUCACUAAACAUGAACUAGGCACUCGGUUAUUGGUUCAAAUAUGUUUCACUACACUCGUAUACCAGUUGGUUAUAGUGUCACGCCCUCAAUUGUCACGCGUCAAGCACGCAAUAAUCAUAUGUCUAAUCCAUCCUUUUAGUGUAUGACUCCAGAAAUUAUCAGUUAUUGGGAUCAACUAUCCUGGUCAAAAGGCACUCCUUACGUUUGCCUCUCGCUUGAAAAUGUUAUGCCCAAGAUGCAUACAGAUUUAGAUAGACCCAACUAGCUUUCUUAUUAUUACUCCCUCUGUCCCUGCAAUAGCUUCCUCUUUGGGGACGGCAUGGGCUUUAAGGAAAAGUUGUAAAGUGUAUUGAUAGUAAAUAAAAAGUGUUAUAAUUAUUAUUGGAAGUUGUGAAAAGUGAAAAGUAAGAAUAAAUAAAUAUUAUUAGUGGUGGGGUAGUUGUCCAAAAAUGGAAAGAAAUAAAAAGAAAGUUAUUUGGGGGACGCCCCAAAAAGAAAAAAGAGGAAGUUAUUUUAGGGACGGGGUGAGUAUUUUUUUUUUUGUUAAAAUGUACAAGCUAUUAAUUGACAGCUAAUGCAGAUUAUUUAAAGAGGUGGUCUUGGGCACAACCGAAUGUACCGUAUAACCGGGUUACACUCAUACUUAGACCCUGACCCGCACCCUUAUUCGAACUCGCAUCCUGACCCGAAUCGUAUAAAUAACACUAUUAUGGGUACAGGUCAACCCGAUUAUACGGUACAUUCGGUUGUACCCAAGUUUUUAUGUUAUUUAAAUGGCCAUCAACAGCUAUGUUUCUUGGAUCCAGUUAACUAAGAAGUAAUUGUCAAAAUUAAUUACAAUAAAGUCACCCACUAAAGGCCAGCUUAACAAGUUAAUUUUCUAUUAUUAAGAUUUAAAGUUUGUUUAAUCCGUAUCUUAGCUGGCUCAUGUGGACUAAUGAUUUUAUUAAUUUCAUGGAAUCUAUUGAGCUUUCACCUUUCAUGAAAUGACUUGUUCAAUGAUAGAUCUAUUGUGUCUAUUUAAUUAGUUCAUUACUUAAAUGGCAUAAUUUAUUAUUAUUGGGAGAUGCAAUGAUUUUUAAAAUAAUCUGUUAGUUGGGAUGUCAUGCUCACUUGCAUAUUUAUUAAAAUUACAAGUAGUCUCUGCUGCUUUUUUUACAUUACCAGUUUCUCUCUCUACAAUUGUUAUUGUUCCUAAAAUGAUCUGCAAAAUAUUGUAGCAUGAGCAUAGUUUAUUUCUUCUCUUCUCAUUCUCCCUCUGCAGUUGUUCCAUUGUUUCAUCUUCGAAAUCUAGUAUUGAGAGGAUAGUUUCUUUCUCUUCUUCUCUCUCACUACUAUUUUUAUUGCAAUGUUCCUUUAUAGUUCACCAAAAUCUCUUGCAUGAAGAGGAUUGUCUUUUACCCCUCUUUUUCUCUCUCUUUACAGUUCCUCCAUUUCAUCUGCUAAAUCUUGUGGUUAGAGCAUAGUUUCUUUCCCUUCUCUUUGUUAUUCUACCUUUGAUUAACACAAUCUUGUAGCUGAGAGUGUGAGUAACGAUGGCUUAUUCUACUCUUGUUUCACUUGAAAGAACCAUUGAUCAAUUCCUCAAUCAUAAUCAACUUUCCAUUUCUCCUCAUGAAAAAGAACAUAUUAUAUCUCUUGAUAAACAUGUCAUUUCACUCCUAGCUUUUCUUGAGGAAUUUCCGGAGAAAGCCAAGAGUUUGGAAGCAAGAAUGAGGGAUGUUGCAAUGGAGGCUGAAGAUGUUAUUGAAUUGUACAUGUCGGAAAAACUCAGCUUCAAUAUUAGAUAUACUCAUUGGAUUGAAAAAAUCAUGUUCAAUAUUAGAUAUAGCCACUGGAUUGCGGAACUAAGAAGAAUCAAGUUUAUAUUCCAGUUGUGCAGAGCAAGAGAUCGAAUGGAUUCAAUCACCGGAGAGGUGGUGGAGAUCAAAAAUAGCAUCGUCAUCAAAGAUGCACAACAAGAUGAUAUCGUUGGUGCUAGUUCUUCAUCACCGCGAGUUGCAGAAGUUGGCAAAAUCAAUAUGGUUGGCUUGGAUGAAGAUUUGCUAGAAAUAAAGGCUUGGCUUUGUGGAGAUUCGCGACAGCUCCAAAUCCUCCCAAUAACCGGUAUGGGAGGUAUUGGCAAGACGACUCUUGCUAGAAACGCUUAUGAUGAUCCGUUAAUCAUGGAGCAUUUUCAGAUUCGUGCUUGGGUCACAGUAUCACAGGAUUAUAGUGAAGGAAGAAUUCUUUCAGAUCUCCUAGAUUGCUUGAAAGAAUUCGACAAAGAAUGGAAGAAUGAAGAGAUCUCUAGAAAGAGCAACAGUAAAAUGGCGGAGAAAAUCUACAAGAUCCUUGUAGAGAGAAGGUUUCUGAUUGUAAUGGAUGAUAUAUGGAGCACAAAGCUACUGGAUGAUGUGAAGAGGUUAUUUCCCAACAACAAUAACAGGAGUCGGAUCCUGUUAACCACGAGGCUCGGAGAUGUUGCUGCUUAUGCUGACUCCUCCCGGCCUCCCCACGAGAUGAGUUUGGCGGAUGCGGAUCAAAGCUGGAAUCUACUACGAGGGAAGGUGUUCGGAUGCCAAGAUUUCGUUCCUCGUGAAUUGGAGGCCACAGGAAGGGAGAUUGCAAGAAGCUGCGGAGGACUGCCCCUUGCAGUGGUGGUGGUUGCAGGGCUUCUAUGCACGGUGAGUAAAACUCGAACUUCGUGGGAGGAAAUCUUCAGAAAUGUAAAAUCAGCUCUUGCCACUACUGAUGGGCAGGUGCAGAAGAUUCUAUCCUUGAGUUACAACCAUUUGCCUCAUCAUCUGAGGCCGUGUUUCUUAUACAUGGGAGGAUUUCCAGAAGACCACCAGAUUAAGGUUCUAGUACUGAUGAGGUUAUGGAUAGCUGAAGGCUUUGUGAAGCCAGUUGCAUCUCAAAGCUUUGAAGACACUGCAGAAGAGUAUCUAGAAGAUCUUAUCAAGAGAAGUCUCGUUGUUGUUUCCAAGAAUAAGUCCAACGGAAAAAUCAAAAGUUGCAGCCUUCAUGAUCUCGUACGAGACUUGUGCAUAAAGCAAUCGCAGGAAGAGAAGUUUCUCGUGCACGUUAAGAGUGGGCGAGCGCGGGAGCUGAAGAAAAGCAUGAAAGACGAGCGCAGGAUAAGUAUUUCUCAAUUUGACGAAAUUGAUUCUUUCGCUAGCAUCUUCAGCUUGACCAUCCGUACUAUAUUGUAUUUCCAAGAUGAAAUUGGCUCUUUUGGGAGUUUCAGAUUGCUCAGAGUCUUGGAUGUGUUGAGAGUGGAAUAUACGUCGUCCCGUUUGGUUCCUGCUCAAUUUUUCGAGCUAUUCCAUUUGAGGUACCUUGCUUUCUGCUGCAAUGAUCCAAUUCCAAGCGCAAUAUCAAACCUUCAAUCUCUUCAAACCUUGAUAAUCUGCUAUUUUAAUUCCUGGAUAGUCCCUGGCUAUACAUAAGAAUGAAAUAGAAGUUCAUUGAGCUGUUACAUUUUGUGUCCCAUCUCACAAAUCAAAUAGUGCUAAAACACUCAACUAACCAACUGCUUUUAUGAUCAGAUAAGGUUUUUUGCUCGUGCAAUAAAUCAGUUCGGUGAUCAUGGAUAUGAAGUCCCUAGAGUCUACACAUACCUGCAAGCAAUCUCUGCACCAAUCUUUUACCUAUGAACCCAGUGGCUCCAGUUACUGAAACGAUCAUCUCAUCUGCCUGCUUCAAAAAGGCCAAGUAAAACAUGUCUGAAAUAUACAUAUUAAUGGACCUUAACAUGCGAUUUUCCAUUACAGAGUACAGACUACACCUGCAGGGAAUCACAAUGUUGCCUUCACACUCUACAAGUCUAUGGCCUCCUGAAGCUUCAAUAAUCCUUUCCACUUUAGUGUUGAGAUAUGAUACACCUGACUCGACACACCUAGGAAAUUUAAUAUGAGUUACAAACCUAUAACUGUGACCAGUAUGAGUUACAAACCAAUAUAAUGAACUGAACAAGUUUCACAGCAAGCUUCAUCAUAUGGGUACAAUGCUUUACAUCAGUUUUCAUCACAUAAAUGGACAACGUUACACAAAUCAACAAUUUCGACGCCAACUCACUUGAAAACACCACGCAGCCAUUCAUCUCACAGCUCACAACUGACACACAUAUAUAUAUCAAUCAUCAUACUAAUAAAAUUAUGCAAAUAUAUAAAUGUUAUAGCUAUAUAUUCAGUUACCUGACACAGAGAAGACAAAAUGACCUAAUAUGCAGAUUCAAAGAUAGGAAAUCGUUUACACAUCAGCAAAUAUUUUCCUAAUUCAAAGGCAAGGCAGUAAAUUUAAAGCAGAAUUCAUAACACUAGAUUUGAUCUCCGAAGAAACAUUGUAAUCAGAAUACUCCUGGUUUCAGUAACAGUAUGAAGAAAUGAAAGUGAUUAUGUAUGAGAAUGUGUUUCAUUCUUUCAAUUGAGGAUAAUCCAAUAACAAGAGAUAAUUCAAAAACUUGAGCAAAAUAGCUUCAGAAAAUUAAAAAAUUUGAGCAAAAUAGCUUCAUAUAAUUUAAAAAAAUCGAGCAAAAGCCCUAAUCUAAAUCAUAUUGUUAUCAACAAAGUUCAAAAAUUAGGGAUUUGGAAUGAGAUUUGCGUAAGGGAUGAAUAAAUUAGGGAUUCUACCUUGGUGGUGGCUAUUGUAGAAGGCGGCGGCGACAGCGGCAGCUCCUAGGGUCUGCGAUUGAGAGCUCGACCGACGGCGGCUGCUAGGGUUAACGGACGGAGAGAGAGAGAGACGGGUGCGGUAGGUGGCAGACGGAGAAGCAAAAAGCUCGAUCUGCUGCUGCUGCUGCGAGAAGAGCGGCGUCAGCUGAGGAGAGGGGUGCUCCGCCGCCCGAUCUGCUGCUGCGAGAAGAACGGCGUCAGCGGAGGAGAGGGUGCUCCGCCGCCCGAUCUGCUGCUGCGAGAAGAGCGGCGUCAGAGGCGACGCGACGCAGGGUGGGUGGGGGCGGUCACUGACUCACUGGCAUCGGCGUCCGGUUGCUCGUGCAGCGUCGUCCGGGCGCGUCACCGGGGGAGCGUUGGGGGGAGGCGGCGGGUGUGUUAAGAGUGUUAAGAGUGUGGUGCAGAAGCUUGAAAAACUUGAAUUAAAAAAAGAAAAAAAUAAUGUUAAUACAUAAUAGUAUUGAGAGGCGCUCAUAGAUAACGGUUGAAAUAACCGUUAUAAAAAUAUGCUCAUAGAUAACGGUCGGCUUAACGGUUUUGUAGUACCGUUAUGUAUAAAACUAAUAGAUAACGCAUAUACAUAACGGUUUAACUUAAACCGUUAUCUAUUUCCAUGGACAACAGUACAUAGAUAACGGUUUUUUGUGAAAACCGUUAUCUUUGCAAAAAAAACGCUCAUAUUCAAAAACCGUUAUGUAUGAAGUGUUAUGUAUGAUGAUUUUUGUAGUAGUGAUGCUUUCUUUAUCAGAGUAGGAAGCUCCGUAAAGUGGUAAAGUUGAGCCACCAAAAGGCUUUUUCUUUCAAGUGGUCAUUGGUUUAAGUUCCACCGGAAGAGUGUGGGUUGUAUUUUAUUUGGUUUGAUGGAUUAUACUUAUUUGGUUAUUUACUUGUAAUAGCAUGAUUGUCAUUUGAUUCAUUCAUCGAUGUAAUAUACAAUUUCAUGAUGUAAUAUGUAUCUUGUAUCUCAAAAACAAAAAUGUUGAAACGAGCUCUUGAAAUUAGAUUCUUGAAAUUAGAUUAACUUAUAUAUAAAGUAUUAAUUGUUAAUAUUAAUUUUUAAAAUAUAUUUCAUCCCACCAGAAUUUUCUAAAUUUUCUACUUUUCCUUUUUCAGACGACCACAAAAAAACUUCCUACCUAUUUUUGGACUAUAGCCAUCACUAAUAAAUAUCUUUACUAUAACACAUUUUUCACCACUUUCAAUAUAUUCAACAACUUUUUUUCUUAAAAUCUGUACUACUCCUUCUUAGAAAGUUUUUUCAUGAACGAAAGGAGUACUAUUUUAUUCACAGUAAAAUAAUAUAAAUAUUUUUUUUAUCGCGAAGUAAUUAAUGAAAGUCUUAAUCCCUGUAACGACUGAUUAUAAUAUAAUAGAAUAUAUUUUUUUUAAAAAAUUAAAUCACUUAACGAGCUAACCAUUCUAACACUAUCGAGUUCAAACUUGAUUUGUUUACCUAACGAGCUUUUAUCAAGGAAAGAUGGUUCAUUUACAGCUCUAUUUCCUAGUCCACCUGAACCAAUAAGGAUGCGUUCUCUUUGGUUAUAAAUUUAUCAUGGGAAAAAGAAGGAUAGACAAAAUUUCACCCUUUAAAUCCUUCAUUUAUUUUUCCUCAUUUCCUAUUUGACCAUUACUUAUUCCAAAUUUACACUACAAAGGAGGUAUAAUAUUAUCCCUCCAAAAAUGAUGUGAUAAUAUUAUCCCUCAUUUGUAGUGAAAAUGAGGAAUGAGUAAGGGUUAAGUAGGAAAUGAGGGAAAAGAAAUGAUAAAUUUACAACGAAAGAGAACGCAUCAUAAAAGUAUAAAACUAUCAAAUUGAAUUUUUAUAUGAAUUCCAACCUAAUCGAACUGUAAUAUGGGCUGCCAUCUUGAUUCCAUAUUGGGCUUGUGAGCUACAAAUAUUGGGCUUUGGUUGGCAAAAUAAAACAAGUAUCUGAAAAGGAAUAAUUAAACAAAAAAAGAAUAUCUUCGUUUGGUGAAGCUUUACACCAAAAACAAACUCAAAAAAUUUUAAAAUAUUUUCAGCUGGAAGCUUGAUUGUGCUUUGAAAAUUCUUGUUCUUCUAUUAAGGGAAGAACAUGGUGGAAAAUCAAAGUGAUUGGAAAAUAAAGACUCUAUGCACAAUCGUGGAGGUGAAUUUAUUGGAAAAUCCUUUAAGGGGUGUUUACUUUGAAGGAUUUAGCUUUGAUAUAUAAAAAUAGUGAGGACAAUCCCUUGUUUACUUUGUUGGAUUGAAACUCUGGGAUAUCUCAAGGCACUUGAUUAUUUUUAUCAUUUAAGCUAGUUUUGUUUGAUUCUUAUCAUAUCAAAAGGGUGGGAUUCGAGUAAUCCUACUCUUGAGGAUAACAACUUGACCGGCGCUCAUCGCCGGGUGUAGAAGCGUGAAGUAACAGUGAAAUUGCAACAAGCCUUCAGGCCGGCUUUCACGGGCCGGAAUUGUUAUUAGUCUUAGCUACCAAACACGCUAAACACCCCAGACUAUUUGACAAUCAAGGGUAAACGAGCCCACCAAACAUGUCCUUAUCUAUACUAAUAGAAAAGGAGCUUAAGGUAUUUUAAGGCACAACUUGUGGAUUGCCUAUUUUACCCCUAUUACAUAUUUUAUUUUAAAAUUAUUUUACAUAUUAUAUAUUUAUAAGAAUAUAUUAAUUCAUUAGAUAUUACAAUAAAUCUAUGUGAUAUAUUUAUAUAGCUAUUGAUAAGGCUUAUAAAUAAAUAUAUUCAUCCAAUAAAUUAUCUUNGUCUAGCUCAUCUUGCUUCCUUUCUUCUGUGGUGAAGUCUGCCUUUGACUUGGGCUGGUCCUCAUCGUAAGGUUCCUGACGGAUGUCAGUAGGAACCCUUUUUACAGUUUCGGUGAUAAUGAUUGGACCGCUGGUGAUGACUUCCCACAUUCUACAAUGUUGGGCAAUGAGGAAGCUUUCAAGCCGAAACUUCCAUAUGUCGUAUUUUUCAAUACAAAACAUAGGUAGAGAAGAUAAUCUGCUGUGGUUAGUCUCCAUCAAAAAAGAGAGAACAGGUAACAGCAGAUAAAGCAAGUAGCAAGCACAAAACAAUAAGAAAGAGUAAAACUUUUCGAGACCUUUAAAAAAGAUCUAGUUCAAGUAGAACUAGUCAGAGACAGAUAGUUUUUGCUAACAACCUGCUCUGAUACCAAUUGUUAGGUCCGGGGGUCUCGAAUAGGUGUAUGGGAGGGGGAGAAUACACCUAUGGGCUAUUUUAAACUAUCCUCAAUCAGAUGGAUCUCAGUCAGAGAUCAAAACGAAACUUUACAUGCAAACACAGACGCCUGUUUAACUGAAAUCAGUUUUGACCAAACAGGGUUGACGACUGAUAUUGAAAGCUCUUCAGUAAAGAGUUAUCAGUUAAGUUGCUGGAACUUAACUGAUGCAAGUAAGGGCUUCAGUCGUGUUUGCUAAAACAGAGAUGAUAACACUCUUCCUGACUAUAAGAGGAUAGAUCAGUCAGACUGAUAUCAUACGCAGCGGAAAUUAACUAGUUCGCAAUAGCCUGGUGAGCACGUUGUUGGUUUUAGUGCUCUUUGCUGUUAAUCAGUAUUCAGUUUAUCAAUAGAAAUAACACAAGUAUGAAUGUAAAACUGAAAGACUGUAAACAACACAGAGACUUUUACGUGGUUCGGAAAACCUUUCCUACAUCCACGUGUUGGAUCAGACCAACAAUCCACUCCGCAAGUGCUUAACAGGUGCACUGCAAACCAAACCGUGUGCUUGCCGGGUGCACACAACCGUACACUGAAGAAAACCCUUCUUCAGUACCCACGCUUCACUAGCGUCGGAUUUCUCUGCUCAGCACAACCCGUGCUAAGACUUCUCACUCAGAGUCAGAGUACCUUCCUGAACUCUGAACCACUCAAACACUCCUAUGGGGGGGAGGUUUGAACGAGUGCCAACUAUACUUACAAAGAACAAGUUCUUUGAAGCAAGUUUGACCUUUUGGCUUCUGGGUAAACAGAGGUUUGCCUAAGGUCUAAGAGAAUGUGUGUAAUCAGCAGUGACUGAUUUUGGCUUUGGAAUUCUCUUCUUCGAUUCAAGCUUUGGGGAGGUUAAGCUUUAGGCUGAGUAGCAAUUUCGGCAGAGCUUCAGCUUAUGUCGUUGAAUCGGUGAAGGUUGAAGUGAUCCUCGAGCGCUAUUUGUAUGAGAACUCUUGAAUAGAUCCGUUGGCGUAGAUCGUCCUCAAGAUUUCUUCCGUUGGAGAGCAAUUCGAAUUUGGGCUGAGGCUUCAAUCUUCGAGGUUCCUUUUCUGGGUGGAAACGACUCUCUUUGAUGGACUGGAGAUGUGACGUCUCUGAAAAGUAACCACCAGAUAGGAAUGACCUCUGCAGAGAUAAGGAUAUCCUGAGAUCUCUGCAUUUAAUGCGGCUGUACUUGUGAGUACGUGGCUUCCUCUGAACGUUGGAAGAUCAGUCCUAGGAGGAAUGUUCAACUGAUACUUGACUUUAGUAUCAGUCCAUUGCGCGCAUUAAGUAAUCAGUCUUCAACUGAUUCUUCAACUGAUACUUCAGUUGGUAUCUGCAAUCUUCAGUCUUUAGUCCUUCGUUCUUCAGUCUUCAGUCUUCGACACCGCAAAUUAAAUUAGAAACGAACUCUAACACUUGAGUUCAAAACAAUUCUAGUCUAUUACAGUUAAGUCCUAUGAAUUUUGGUAUCAUCAAAAUAAGGGUUAGGAUAUUCCACAAGGUUCCCAACAGUCUUAGCUACCAAACACGCUAAUUAAACACCCCAGACUAUUUGACAAUCAAGGGUAAACGAGCCCACCAAACAUGUCGUUAUCUAUACUAAUAGAAAAGGAGCUUAAGGCAUUUUAAGGCACAACUUGUGGAUUGCCUAUUUUACCCCUAUUACAUAUUUUAUUUUAAAAUUAUUUUACAUAUUAUAUAUUUAUAAGAAUAUAUUAAUUCAUUAGAUAUUACAAUAAAUCUAUGUGAUAUAUUUAUAUAGCUAUUGAUAAGGCUUAUAAAUAAAUAUAUUCAUCCAAUAAAUUAUCUAAUAAAAGCAAUGAAUUAAUAAAUUUUUAAAAUAAUAAAUUAUCAAAUAAAAUAAUAUUAAUUACACGUAUAACGUACGUUCUUUCUGCUAGUUGUAUAAAAUGUGUGUGGAACGGUAAGAAUUAACUAAUAGUAAGAAAUAGUUUUACUAAAUAACAACAUCCUCAAGAGAUCCAAUAUUUUAAUAUAGUUGCAGCAUUUAAACUUCCAUGCCUGAUGUUAAAAGUAUCAUAUUUGAGUUUACUGUAUUUUUAAUUGAAAUGAUGAUCUAUUUGGAGAAUUGCAUAUAGAAAUUACAUAAUUUGAAAUUAGGGUUGACAGCCUAAGGGUGUGUUUGCUUUUUAUCCCUCUAAAUAGAGGGAUAACAAAAAUUUAUGUCUUUAAAUAUCUCAUUUCUUAUCCCAUAUUUUACACAAAAGAGGAGUUCACCAUUUUUCCUUCCUUAUUUUCACUUCAAGGAGGGAUAAUAUUAUCACACCAAAAUGAAGGGAUAAUAUUAUUAUUAUCCCUCCUUGAAGUGAAAAUAAGAAAGAAAAAAUGAUGAACUCCUCUUUUGUGUAAAAUGUGGGAUAAGAAAUGAGACAUUUAAAAGCAUAAAUUUUUGUUAUCUCCCAUUUUUCCAUCCAUCAAAGUGAACGCGCGCACCCUAAAGGGAUGAGAAUAUUAAUUAUUGUGUGCAUGUUCCAAGAAGAGAUCGCAUGUAUAUACAAUAUACAGCAGUUAAGCUCCUAUUUUGGUUCAUAGAAACAACUCGAUCUGGUCUAUUACAAAUUGCCAAUAAAUAAAAAUAAAAAUAAAUAAAUAUAAAGAAGAAGCAAAAGUUGAAAGACAUGAGUUGAAGGCCUCCGUGGGGUGAACUUGAGAAGAAAAUCAAGUAUCCAAAUUAACGCCAACUGCUCUACCUCAUGGAUUGAUAUUCACCCUAUCUCAGGGGCGGUUCUGGAGGGUGCGCGGGGUGGUCGACCGCACAGGGGCCCCGAAAAAAUACGGGGCCCCAAAAAUAUAAUAGAUCCAUAUAUUAUAUAUAUAUAUAUAUAUAAUAAAUAAAGCCUGAUAUAUUAUUGAAUUCUUUAAUGCAGCGCAGUGGUGAAGUGCCUUAGUUUGGUCUUUGUUCACCCGGGUUCGAUUCUUCUUAGAAGCAAAGUGGUGUUUUUUUUUUAUUUUUUUAAAGGUAGAACAGAUUCACCUGAUUUGUAGGCAAAUUUGGCGAGCAGCAUGCCUCUUAUAUGGGCUUAGGGUAUGCUUUGUUGGCCCAACUAACAAACUCUCUUCAGUUCAAGCAGUAGCAGACGAUAUUCACUCUUCUUUUCCAAAAAUUUUCUUUCAUCUUCUUUUUAUUUCAGUGAUUUUUCAAGUCUUGAGAUUAAAGGUAAUUUCGUUGAAACUUUCAAUUAUAUUUUAUACAUUUCAGUUUUUAUUUUUUAUUUCAGUUUUUUAUUUUUAAUAAUUGUUAUUAUUAAUUUUAACUGAUGGAAUUAUAAUUUUGUAUUUAGGUUUGUGUGUUAAUCGUGGACAUACUACGUUUAUCGUAUUCAUAUAAAGAUUACUGGUGCGAUCUUUCCUCUCUAAAUUCUUAUAUAGUUAUAUUGUUUGGUUAUUAUUCUAAUCUUUACUUUGUUUAGUUGUGUACUUGACACCGGUGCUUAAAAUCUUGAGCUUAAUAUGAUUAGAAAAUAUCAAUCUGGAUAUGAAAACUUGCAAGUAGGGCAACACUUUUUAAGUGAAUGACAUAUUUUUUUAUAUAUUUAUUAAAUAAUUUGACAAAAAAAUGUAUUAUUUAAUCAAAUAUUUAUAUAAUAUAUUUUUUUCUCAACUAUAAAUAAAGGGCCCAAAUUUAACAAUUCGCACAAGGCCCACGUUUAGGUAGCCCCGCCCCUGCCCUAUCUAUUUUGGAGAUUAAGUCAUAAUUCUUCAUCUUUGCUGCAAUGAUUUUGGUUGUCACUAUAUUUAUCUCGUUUAUAAAUUUAAACGACUCAAUCGCUUCCGGGAAGGUAUCCAGAUAUGGACGAGCUUAUAUCAAGCCAGCUGAAGCAUUGACUUAUUGUUUCAAAUUUGAAGGGAUGAAAAACAAGUUUGAAAGAUAUCUAAAUACCGCUUUGUGAUUUUUCUUCUUACUCGUCUUGAUCUAGUGUGCAUGUUUUCACAAGAAACAAGGCAAUAUUGACUUACUGAGUUAUUGUUUCUGACAUAAGAUUGUAAUAAACAAGUAAAAGUUGAUCCAAUAUCGAUCCUACCACCAAAACAUAUUAAUAUUUCUUUUAUUACUUGUUAAAAUAUUGAAAGUACAUUUUUACCCUUAUUAAUUGGUGAAUAAAAAUAAAGAGAAAAGAAAUUAUUUUCACUCACCAUCAAUCUCUUCUCAUUCUCUCUCUCUUCUUCAUUCUCAUUUUCUCUCUCUUCCUCCAUUAAUGAACUCAAAGCUUGCGUAUUUUCUUCUUCCUUCAUUCUUUGAUUUUCGUAGGUUGUCUUGGACCGUACAACUGACUUUAAUGUGAUCAGUGGCGGAGCCAGGAAUUAAUUUGGGAGGGGGUUGAACUUACACGGGGGUUCGGGGGCGGUAGCCCCGAGAAUUUUUUUUUGGACAUUCCGUAUAUUUAAGGCAUUAUUUUAUUAAAAGACGAGCAUAAUAGUAAUAAUAAAGAACAACAUUUUCAUAGAUUAUAUAAUUUAAAUAUAUAACAAAUUAGUUUCAAUACAUUACGAAUUUUUUUGAGACAUUCUGUAUUUUUAAAGCAUUUUUUAUUAAAAGACGAGCAUAAUAGUAAUUAUAAAGAACAACAUUUUCAUAUACUAUAUAGUUUCAAUAUAUUACAAAUUAAUUUCAAUACAUUACAAACUUUUUUUUUUGUCAUUUCGUACAUUUUAGGCAUUUUUUUAUUAAUAGACAAGCAUAAUAGCAAUAAUAACGAACAAUAUUUUCAAUAAAUUACAAGCUAGAAUGAAUAAUAAUAAAAGACAAGCAUAGUAAUAAUGGCAAACAAAUUUUUUUUGGGCAUUCCAUCCAUUUUAGGCAUUUUCUAUUAAAAGACAAGCAUAAUAGUGAUAAUAAUGUAUAAUAUUUUUAUAGAUUAUAUAGUUUUAAAUAACUCAAUUGUCCUUAAAUUAAUUAUAAAUGGAAGAAUAUAACAAGCUAAUCAACUUUUGUUAAAACAAAAUUUCUUUUAUAAUAUAAACAUAUAUAUUAAAAAUUAAAAAAAAACUCAAAAUUAUAGGGGGGCUUCAGCCCCCCUGGCUACGCCCCUNUCAUUUCUUAUCUCAAUUUUACACAAAAGAGGAGUUCACCAUUUUUCCUUUUUUAUUUUCACUUAAAGUAGGGAUAAUAUUAUCACACCAAAAUGGAGGGAUAAUAUUAUUAUCCCUCCUUGAAGUGAAAAUAAGAAAGAAAAAAUGAUAAACUCCUCUUUUGUGUAAAAUGUGGGAUAAGAAAUGAGACAUUUAAAGGCAUAAAUUUUUUUUAUCCCCCUUUUUCCAUCCAUCAAAGUGAACGCACCCUAAAGGGAUGAGAAUAUUAAUUAUUGUGUGCAUGUUCCAACAUGUAUAUACAAUAUACAGCAGUUAAGCUCCUAUUUUGGUUCAUAGAAACAACUCGAUCUGGUCUAUUACAAAUUGCCAAUAAAUAAAAAUAAAAAUAAAUAAAUAUAAAGAAGAAGCAAAAGUUGAAAGACAUGAGUUGAAGGCCUCCGUGGGGUGAACUUGAGAAGGAACAGAGUACAAACACAAAACCACCAAAGGAGAAGAAAAUCAAGUAUCCAAAUUAACGCCAACUGCUCUACCUCAUGGAUUGAUAUUCACCAUCGCUAUUUUGGAGAUUGAGUCUGAAUUCUUCAUCUUUGCUGCAAUGCUUUUGGUUGUCACCAUCUUCAUCUCCUUCAUAGAUCGAAACGACCAAAUCACUUCCGAGAGGGUAUCCAGAUAUGGACAAUCAUGGAUUUCUAAUUUCCUGAGCCUAUACUUUGCAUCUUUUCCACAUUGUACAUUUCUCAGAUUCCAUAACUCUUCCAUGCACAUGACUUCGAGCUCGGGAAAGUGUCGUGCAAGAUCACCAUUUGUUGACCAGUGUAUGCAUUCCGCAAUUUGAGGUACUCUAGAUUGGGUAACUUUCCUAGUAGUGGCAUGGGGUCUUCAUCAAGACAGCUAUUAACCAACGUCAAUGAUUUAAGAGAUCGAGGGAGAUUACUUGGUAACCUGGCAAGGAGUCCAUCCAAUUUGAGUUUUUCGAGCCUAUGUAGAAUGCGAAGGUCAUCCAAACAAGGCAUGCUUCUGAAACGAUACCCUUUUAAGAUUAGGUGGUUAAGACGUUCCAAUACAACCAAUGACGCAAAGAGCUUGCUUACAUCUGAGUUUGCAUCCAAUUCUUCUAUGCCCAAUUUCCAAAGACAAAACAACUUUUCAAAGCCCGAGAGCCUACAUGUCCAAUUAUCAACCGAGACGUAGGUUAAGGUCUCCAAAUUCUCCAGCGUGUCAAUCUUGAAAGGCUUCCAGCAAAUCAGAUUUGACAUGUAGAGGUGGCGAAGGCUCUGCAAUUCCCAUAUAAUAUCUGGCACCUCCACCAUAAAGUUUUGAGCUAUGUCAAGAAUCUCAAGCUUUUUCAACCACCCCAACGACUCUGGAAGCUCUUUUAUGUAAUUAUUUCUCAACCCCAAGUAUCUUAAUUCCAUCAAUGUGCCGAUAGAAUCUGGUAAAAACUUCAACCCAAAAUCUUCCAGGUCAAGUAUCUUAAGUUGUUCAAAGCUCUUCCAAUAAGAUGGACUAGCAUCAAAGUAGCCACCUCCAUGGAAGAAGAGAGAAACAAGAAGCUUAUCUUGAUCCGUGGAGUAGUUGAACUUGUCUCUGCUACAAAUGAUAACACGAUGAUGACGAGGACUCUCACAGGGCUGAUUAUUUCCAUUGUUCCUUAGGAUCUCAAAAUCGAACUCCUCCUCUGCUCUUUGGAUGGAUAGCAUGUGUAGCACAACAUUCAUUCGAUACUGCGUGCUCUUGUCUUGGACAUCAAUAACAGAUUCAUCGAUUAAACCAUCUAAAUGUGAUGCAGAUUCAUAUUCUUGUGCUGCUCCUACUACAUUCCAAAUCUGUUUCAGCUUUUCUUUCCUCAAAGUUGUAUUUUCCUUAAAGAAGGCCAUAGACAAGAAACAUGACCUCAGUUUGGGAUCCAACUUAUGAUAAAAUGGUUCCAACAACUUCAAUGUUGAACCAAAAUCAACUGAUUCAAGAAGUUGUUCCCAUUUGCUCUGCCCUGAGACUUUCUUUUCCGCUAACUGUUUUCCCACCUCUUUUAUAGCUAAUGGCAGACCACCACAUUUUCUCAACAUUUGUUUUCCCAUAUCCUCCAAAGACUUUGGGAAUUUGUGGUCACCCGUCAAUUUGUUUAUUGCUUUCAUAAACAAUUGCCAGCUCUUCUUAGCAUCCAAAGGUUCCAUCUUAUAAACAUUUUCAUCAGAUACCUUUAUGUUGACAUGUGUCGCGUGACUUGUGAGUAGCAAUCGACUUCCAGUGUCUGCUUACAUAAGAACAAUACAAAAAGGGAAAGUGAGAAGAUUAUUGAGUCAUAAGUAGACGAAAGAUGAUCAUACAUACAUUCACGUGGAAGAGCUUCCAAGAAAGACGACAAGUGCAUCUGUUUGGGCAGGUCAUCGAGAACUAUAAGAUAUCGCUUCCAUUGCAGGUGUUGGCGAAGCAUAUCUCGGAGGCUUCGGUUGUCCAUAUUCUCCAAUAAGGAAGAUGUAUGGAGAUUCUCAGGAUCUUCUAGCUGUUGUAUUAGUUUGAUAAGUAGCUCUUUCAUAGUGAAGUGAUGAGUAGAAUUAGAUACCCAAGCACGACGCUUGAAUCGCUCAAUGACGGUUGGAUGGUUGUAUAUCUCUCUCGCAAGAGUUGUCUUUCCAAUACCAUCCAUCCCUUUGAUAAGAACAUCCUUCCGGUAUCUUGCCCCAUCAAGAAUCUUUUUGCGAAGCAGCAUUUCCACAUCUUCGUCCAAGCCCACCACAUCUACAGCAUCUUCAACAUAUUCUGAUGAUCUAAUGUUGGAUUCAUCAUCUCCCAGUUUAAGCAUCUGCUUUUUGAUCUCUCCCAUCCAACUAUGGAUGGACAUCAUGGACUCAUAAUCCCCCAAAUUAUAACGUAUCAUGUCUUCAUCGAAAAACUUGAUGGCAUCGUCAGUCAUGUCGACAAGGUCGGAUACUAAAAAAUUGAGGCUUCUUCCCUCUUCCAAUUUCUUAUCCCUCACAAUAUCAACAAUCUCUCUCAUCUCUUCCAUCAUCUUGUCGAAUUGUUUCCGGAAAUAUUCUGAGUUUUGUUUUAAGGAGGAAUUGCCCUUUCGAUAACUAAUAACCAGCUUCUGUAUCAGCGAUAAGAGGAGGGCCUCCGACAUGAUUAUGCUUGGACCAAAUUGCCCUAGCUAAUACCCAAUUUAACAACAUUAGUAGCUAGGAAAUACUCCCUCCGUCUAUGAAUUAAAGCCCUAUUUCAUGUUCGGCACGAAAACUAAUUAAGAAAACUGAUAAAGGUAUUGUGAGUGAAAUAAAAUUGUAGUUGACUAAAGUGAUAAAGGUGUUGUGGGUGGGUCCAUUAGUGAUAAAAUAUAGUAAAUAUAUAAUAUAAAAUUGAUAAAAGUGUUUUAAGGUGGGUCCAUUAGUGACAAAAGGUAAUAAAUAUAAGAAAAAAAUGAGAGUAAAAAGUACAAAAACCACAAUAGGGCUUUAUUUGGUGGACAAAAAUUAAAUGGCAAGUAGAGGCGCUUUAAUUCAUGGACGGACACAUUUCAGCAAAUCCAUAAAUUAUUAGUAUAGAAACAUAAGAUUUCGGAUUGAAUAGAAUUUACUCAAGCGAAAGAAUUUUAUUAUCAUGUGAAUUGAAAACAUCGUAAACACAUGAAUUCUUCAUAUUAAUCUAAUCUAUGGAGAAGGAAAAAGUUACCCUUCUGUGAUUUCUCUUCUUAUCUUUACUCGUGUUGGUCGACUUUCUGAUUCAAUCCUCCAUUCUCAUGAAAUUAGCUCGUCUUUAUCUUCCAAUGAAUCCUUUGUUUUGAUCAAGGGUCAGAAGAUUAUUGAGUCUAGAAUGUUAAGAGGGUGUUAAUUAGGCUGAGCUUAUAAGUUUCUCAAAACAGUUUAUAAGCUCAUUCGAAGUGUUUGGCAAAAUAAGCUCCUAAACAACUUAUAAAUUCCAAAAAGAAACAAUAGGGCCGGAUGGCCCUAUUGAGCUUACAAACUCAAUUUUUAGCCCUCAAUUGAAAAAAAAUUAAAUUUUGGCCAUUUUUUAGGUGGUAUGACUAACUUACCCUUCCAUCUCCAAUCCAUCUCCAACCAAGUAACAGUACGUGUGAUCCAAGCUUCCCUUCUCUCUCUCGCGCGCCCUCUCUUUCGCGCUCUCUCUCUUUCGCGUCAAUGAUGAACGGCAGAAAUCGGUCGUGAUUCCGGCGGCGUGCUUCCCUCCUCUCUCUCUCUUCCGCGUCGAUGAAGAGCAGAAAUCGGUAGAAAUCGCGUAUUCUAAUUCCGGCGACAUGCUUCCCUUCUUCCUCGGCGGCGGCGGUGGAUCUGAUCUGAUGAGGCGGCGACGGUGGAUCUGAUCUGAUCGUUGCGCCGCCUCCUCCAUCGGCAGAUCUGAUCUCCGCCUCCUUCGAUUUCAGCCAUCGACAGAUCUGAUCUGAUCUGAUCUGAUCUGAUCUGUGCUGCACGUAUGGCACUUAUGGCACUAAUAGUGCCAUAAGUGCCAUAAGUGCACACUUCCCCCUAGGGUUUAGAUAUUCCAUUUAGGGUUUAGAUUAUCCAUUUAGGGUUUAGAUGUUCAAUUUAGGGUUUAAAUGAUGUUGUUGUUUCUGUAUUUGUGCUGCACGUAUGGCACUUAUGGCACUAUUAGUGCCAUAAGUGCCCAAAUGACCAUUUUACUUAGUUUUAUUUUGAAUUUCCGUUGGCACUUAUGGCACUAAUAGUGCCAUAAGUGCCUAACCCGACCCGGCACGCGACCCGCGUGCCUGAUCCUACCCGGUCCGCCUCAUUAAGGGCAAAAACGUCCAAAUCAAUAAAAAUGGCCAAAUUUUGUGUUUUUUCAAUGUGUGGCCAUAAAUUGUGUUUUAUGCUUCAUUUUGGCUACUUCAAAAUUUUACUCAAAAGAAAAUAAGCUCCAAGAGCUUACAAGCACUCCAAAAAAUAAGUUCAUCUGCCCCAACUUAUUUUUUUAUAAUCUCAUAUGCAACAAUCAUUUUAUAAAUAUUUUUCAACUAUAAUUUAUUAUUUUCGUCAUAUAUAAUUCAAGUUCAUUUCUCUUCGAUUUUCUCAUUCUAAAAAAAUAUUUUCUCUCUCUAGCAAAAAAAUUAUCUCUCUAGCUUAUAAGAUCAAUUAUCCAAACAACAACCAACAAGCUCUUAAAAAUAACAUCUUAUAAGCUUUCGAAACAUCUUAUAAGCUCCAAAAGCUUAUAAGCUCUUUAAAAUAAGCUUAGCCAAGCAGCACCUUCUAAGUGGGAGUCCAGUGAGCUAAUUGACUAUUGUGAAAUUAUAAUAAAAAAAUUAUACUAGAGAAAUUAAAAAAAUAAAAAUGGGACACACGCUAAAAAGUUACAUAGAAAUUAAUGCCCAAGGCUUCAGGUCCUGAGUUCGAGUCCAUCACCGUGCAAUUUUUAAAUUUUUUUAUCUACUUGUGUAGUUUAUAAAAAAAAUAAAAAAAAAAUCUCCAAUAAAAAAAUUAAUUUGUGAUGACUUAUGUUAUCUCUUUGGGAACAUCCAAAUACCCAAAUUAAAAACUAGAAUAAAAACAAAAUAAAAAUUACCGCUUUGUGAUUCUUCUUCUGACUCGUCUUGAUCUACUUUCCGAAUCUAUCCUCACUUUUCCUUAGCCUUUAGCUUUCAUUUUUAUAUAUAGGAUUCCAAAAGUCUUAUGUUACAAUGGAAAAUAUAAAAAGAUUUGUGGUUGCAUAUUGUUGCGAAGCAAGAACUUCUCAUUUAACUUGAAUUGUUUCUUUUUUAGAUAAUCGAUUUUCACUACGAUAAAUAUAGCCACACACACUUUACACUACAAUCUUUCUCUCUUCAAUGACCGUGUCAAAAAAUAUUAGGUCAAGUAAGAUGAGACAAAUGAUAUAAUUUAUUCAAGCUUCCAAAACUAUUAAUUUUCGACUUAAUAAAAUUUUGUGAAGCGCAAAAAUUAAAAUUUUUGAUAUAGAAACUCCGCAUAAUUAUGGUGAGUUCAUAUUAUUCAGAUCUAGGAAGAGGGAAAAUUACCUCUUUGUGAAUUCUGUUCUUAUCUUUGCUCCUCUCUCCUUAUCUUCUCCUCUGGCUGAAAGUGAUUUGACAAGCUAAAACAGAGCUAAAAUGUAAUGAGCGCCGCCUAAAUCUUGCGCUCACACCAUGCGCGCGGGUCUGGGUCGGGUCGGAUAAAUAUAAAAAAAAACUUUAUCUUUCUUCGCAGGCUCUUCUCUGGCCCUUUCUCUCCGCCGCCCCUCUCUCUCUUCUUCUACUGUCUUCACUCUUCCCUGCGGAUCGCCGCCACCUACUCCAACCGGCGUCCCCACAGUCACCAUCUGCACUACCUUCCACCACAUCACUCAAAAUACCCUCCAAAUACCCCCUUAACUUUCUAGAAACCCUAACGUUUUUCUUGACCUCUCUCUCUCUCUCGAUUGCACACAUGCACAGUCUCGGAGGCUCCGCUCCUUCGCCGUCGUCGAUGAGGACGGCGGUGGCAUCGACGAAGACCCACGUUCCGCGCUCAGGUAAGUCACCCCACCACCGCUGGGCCUACCCCUGUUCGACGCUCCAGCGAAGUCGAAGUGUGUAUGGCGGCGGCUGUUGCUCGACGGCCGUGAAUGGAUGGAGGUGGAUUCGUGCGGCUGUGACUUACAGCAGUGACUCAUCGCGGCGCUGAGUCAGUCGACGUCGGGGCUGGUCUAGGCCAGCGGUGCUGCCGGCAUUACUGCAUAUGGUGGAUCAGCGGUUGGCGGCGAGGUUUGGCGACGCGUUUCAGAUCUGCGGCGUGAAGAGCAGCAGGUGGCGGAUAGCUGAGGCACGACGCGUUUCAGAUCUGCGGCUUGAAAUUUCCUUGGUGAUUUUGGAUUUUGGAUGUCAAAUUGUUCAAAUUCGAUUUACAUUGUUCAUGCUUUGCUGAUUAUUGCGUGGGUCAGAUUCCUCAUCUCCUCAAUGCUGCUUUUGGAAUUUUAUUUCUUGUGGAGAUUUGUAGAAGUAGCAAAUUCAAUGUGUAGUGUAUUAGAUGAGCUGCGUAGCCUGCGUUAAGUUUAUCAGUUGGAUUGAAGUUGGAAAUGUGGCGUGAGCAGCAGUAGUUCCAAUCAACUGCUUCUGUCAUGUAAAAUUACUCUUGUUGAUUGCAGUUUAUUAAGUUUUGCAGAUUGGUUCGAGAGGUCUAAGCUUCGCUAGAUGAAACCUUUAACUUAGUAAAAAACACUUUUAAAAUAUAUAAAUGACACUACUUGUAAGAAUGACAC